rnacentral:rRNA from 1 species
CCUACGGGAGGCAGCAGUGGGGAAUAUUGCACAAUGGGGGAAACCCUGAUGCAGCAACGCCGCGUGAGCGAUGAAGGCCUUCGGGUCGUAAAGCUCUGUCCUAAGGGAAGAAUACUGACGGUACCUUAGGAGGAAGCCCCGGCUAACUACGUGCCAGCAGCCGCGGUAAUACGUAGGGGGCUAGCGUUAUCCGGAAUUACUGGGCGUAAAGGGUGCGUAGGCGGCCCUUCAAGUCAGAGGUGAAAGGCUACGGCUCAACCGUAGUAAGCCUUUGAAACUGUAGGGCUUGAGUGAAGGGGAGGGGGGUGGAAUUCCCGGGGUGGGGGGGAAAGGCGUAGAUAUUGGGGGGAAAACAGGUUGCGAAGGCGGCUCUCGGACUGUAACUGACGCUGAGGCACGAAAGCGUGGGGAGCGAACAGGAUUAGAUACCCUAGUAGUC